rnacentral:rRNA from 1 species
GAAAGCAUCUAAGCACGAAACUUGCCCCGAGAUGAGUUCUCCCUGAGACUUAGAGUCUCCUGAAGGAACGUUGAAGACGACGACGUUGAUAGGCCGGGUGUGUAAGCGCAGCGAUGCGUUGAGCUAACCGGUACUAAUGAACCGUGAGGCUUAACCUUAC